rnacentral:rRNA from 1 species
CAAUAGCGUAUAUUAAAGUUGUUGCAGUUAAAAAGCUCGUAGUUGGAUUUCUGGGAGGGUGCCAAUGUCCGUCGUCGUACGUGUUGCAGCGGCGCCCUUCCAUCCUUCUGUUAACGACUUUGGGCAUUCAUUUGCCGGAGUCGGGCUCAGAUAUUUUACCUUGAGAAAAUUAGAGUGUUUCAGGCAGGCUAGGCCGGAAUACAUUAGCAUGGAAUAAUGGAAUAGGACUACGGUCUCUUUGUUGGUUUGAGGGACUGCAGUAAUGAUUAAUAGGAGCAGUUGGGGAUGUCCGUAUUCGAUUGUCAGAGGUGAAAUUCUUGGAUUUAUUGAAGACGAACCACUGCGAAAGCAUUUGCCAGGGAUGUUUUCACUGAUCAAGAACGAAAGUUAGGGGAUCGAAGAUGAUCAGAUACCAU